UACGAAAGGUGCAAGCGUUACUCGGAAUCACUGGGCGUAAAGCGCGCGUAGGCGGAUUCGUAGGUCGAUUGUGAAAUACCUGGGCUCAACCCGGGAAUGGCAGUCGAAACCGCGUUUCUUGAAUACCUGAGAGGGUGGGGGAAUACCUAGUGGAGAAGUGAAAUUCGUAGAGAUUAGGUGGAACACCAGAGGCGAAGGCGCCUGCCUGGCAGUGUAUUGACGCUAAAGUGCGAAAGUGCGGGGAGCAAACAGG
rnacentral:rRNA from 1 species